rnacentral:rRNA from 1 species
UACGUAGGUGGCUAGCGUUGUCCGGAUUUACUGGGCGUAAAGAGCGCGCAGGCGGUCGUUCAAGUCGAGUGUGAAAGCCCCCGGCUCAACUGGGGAGGGUCACUCGAUACUGAUCGACUUGAAGGCGGGAGAGGGAAGCGGAAUUCCCGGUGUAGUGGUGAAAUGCGCAGAUAUCGGGAGGAACACCGGUGGCGAAGGCGGUUCUCUGGGCCUUACCUGACGCUGAGGAGCGAAAGCGUGGGGAGCGAACAGG